GCAGUCGAGCGGANNGAGUUAUCUGAACCUUCGGGGAACGAUAACGGCGUCGAGCGGCGGACGGGUGAGUAAUGCCUAGGAAAUUGCCUUGAUGUGGGGGAUAACCAUUGGAAACGAUGGCUAAUACCGCAUAAUGCCUACGGGCCAAAGAGGGGGACCUUCGGGCCUCUCGCGUCAAGAUAUGCCUAGGUGGGAUUAGCUAGUUGGUGAGGUAAUGGCUCACCAAGGCGACGAUCCCUAGCUGGUCUGAGAGGAUGAUCAGCCACACUGGAACUGAGACACGGUCCAGACUCCUACGGGAGGCAGCAGUGGGGAAUAUUGCACAAUGGGCGAAAGCCUGAUGCAGCCAUGCCGCGUGUAUGAAGAAGGCCUUCGGGUUGUAAAGUACUUUCAGUUGUGAGGAAGGGGGUGUCGUUAAUAGCGGCAUCUCUUGACGUUAGCAACAGAAGAAGCACCGGCUAACUCCGUGCCAGCAGCCGCGGUAAUACGGAGGGUGCGAGCGUUAAUCGGAAUUACUGGGCGUAAAGCGCAUGCAGGUGGUUCAUUAAGUCAGAUGUGAAAGCCCGGGGCUCAACCUCGGAACUGCAUUUGAAACUGNUGAACUAGAGUACUGUAGAGGGGGGUAGAAUUUCAGGUGUAGCGGUGAAAUGCGUANAGAUCUGAAGGAAUACCAGUGGCGAAGGCGGCCCCCUNNACAGAUACUGACACUCAGAUGCGAAAGCGUGGGGAGCAAACAGGAUUAGAUACC
rnacentral:rRNA from 1 species